rnacentral:pre_miRNA from 1 species
AGCAGCCCUCGGCGUCCCGGGAGGGGCGGGCGGCGGUGCCCGUCCCGGGGCCGCGCGAGGCACACACG